AGGAACACCGUACCUUGAUGGGUACGGUUGUUGAGAGGGUUCUGUCCGCGAAGAGCGGAUUGCAUGAAGCCUUCACGAGCCUGCUAAGAGGCUUCGAGGUUUGUGAUGUAAUAUUUUCAACUGUGUUUUAUUCGCAAAAUGCACCUGUAUAUAGGUAGUAGCCCCUGAGACUCGGAUUGGCUUCCCAAGGGAGGCGAUCAGAGGAUCAAAAAGAAAUAUGCUCAGGGAAUGACGUUGAUUGAAUUGGAACACAUGCAAUUUCCCCCUCAGUGACCGCCCGGACUACAGAAGUCGCCGAGCUUCAGCGGAAGCUUGAUGUGGCGAGUGAGGACAUUACGCUUAUCCACAAGCGUCUUGACGAGUCACAAGAUGGUGCUGCCGUGGUUGAGAUUCUUCGGGCGGAGCUAUUCCGAGUCAAGGAGCAGGCCCGGUUUAGUAAUGCGGCUUCUGAAAAGGCAUCGGCCGAAUUGAAGGCCGAACAGGUUGCUCGGCGUCAGGACGAGGAGAAAAUAUCCAAGAUGACGCGUGAGCUCGAAGGUGCCGCUAGCCGCUGCGAGUUCCUCGAGAAGGAUAAUAAAGCAAAAGAGGCGGAUCUUGAUAAGGCCUUAUGAGAGGCAAAAGAAGUGCGGUCCGAGUCUAGAGCGGCUCGGGAGGAGAUCCGGCAAGCUGGGGAGAUCGCAGCUGACGCGUUAUUGGACUUGCCGAAGAGUGCGGCCGACGCGGUGCAGUUUUACCAAGCACGAGAAGGAUAUGCAACGGAGAAGCUUUUCUGGCCACAAUUCAGUGUGUCAAAGCGCCCGCUAUUGCUAAACGAACAGAUGACCCAAUGGGCCGAGCUUCACAGGCUGUCCGGUGCUGCCAUGAAGGACGUCGUGGUCCGGCUGUGGCCAAUCGAGCCAGUUCCGGAUGGUUAUUUUGGUUUGGUGCAGCGACUUGCUGAAGCGGUGCCGCGUAUCGAUGCUGUGAAGCGAUCGACGUGCAUUGAAGGUGCACGGAUGGCCUUUGCCCGUGUCAAGACAUACUGGGCGAAGAUGAAGGCCACCGAUGUUGCAGCGAAGAGUCCACCCAAGGGCAAGGAUCGUCACGCGCCAGAGCACUAUUUCGAGGAUGUCUUAGAGGGUGCCCGCUUAAUAGAGGGUCAAUGCUCGAAAGAUGUAAUUUUCGAGUGAAUUGUAUGAAAAUUGUAAAAGAGAAUAUUAUAAUAAGGCUAGUUUCUUUUUAGUUUCGCCUAAAAACUUUUAUUCCUCCUGUGCAGUCCUUUUUGUAUAAUCUUAAAGUUUUCCAGUCGUCGGCUUCAGCCCC